rnacentral:rRNA from 1 species
GGGGCAGGGUGAGUCGACCCCUAAGGCGAGGCCGAAAGGCGUAGUCGAUGGGAAACAGGUUAAUAUUCCUGUACUUGGUGUUACUGCGAAGGGGGGACGGAGAAGGCUAUGUUGGCCGGGCGACGGUUGUCCCGGUUUAAGCGUGUAGGCUGGUUUUCCAGGCAAAUCCGGAAAAUCAAGGCUGAGGCGUGAUGACGAGGCACUACGGUGCUGAAGCAACAAAUGCCCUGCUUCCAGGAAAAGCCUCUAAGCAUCAGGUAACAUCAAAUCGUACCCCAAACCGACACAGGUGGUCAGGUAGAGAAUACCAAGGCGCUUGAGAGAACUCGGGUGAAGGAACUAGGCAAAAUGGUGCCGUAACUUCGGGAGAAGG